GUCGAGGAUCUUCGGCAAUGGGCGCAAGCCUGACCGAGCGACGCCGCGUGUGCGAUGAAGGCCCUCGGGUUGUAAAGCACUGUCGAGGGGGAGAAAGGCCCGCAAGGGCUUGAUCUAUCCCUGGAGGAAGCACGGGCUAAGUUCGUGCCAGCAGCCGCGGUAAGACGAACCGUGCGAACGUUGUUCGGAAUCAUUGGGCUUAAAGGGCGCGUAGGCGGGCUUCCAAGUCCGGGGUGAAAUCCUCCAGCUUAACUGGAGAACUGCCCCGGAUACUGGAGGUCUCGAGGAAGGUAGGGGCAUGCGGAACUGUGGGUGGAGCGGUGAAAUGCGUUGAUAUCCACAGGAACUCCGGUGGCGAAGGCGGCGUGCUGGACCUUUUCUGACGCUGAGGCGCGAAAGCCAGGGGAGCAAACGGGAUUAGAUACCCCGGUAGUCCUGGCCCUAAACGAUGAGAACUAGGUAGUAGACUAUCAUGGGUUUACUGCCGAAGCAAAAGUGCUAAGUUCUCCGCCUGGGGAGUAUGGUCGCAAGGC
rnacentral:rRNA from 1 species